rnacentral:rRNA from 1 species
AACGAACGCUGGCGGCGUGGAUAAGACAUGCAAGUCGAACGGGACUUCAUUUGUAGCAAUACAGAAGGAGCCCAGUGGCGUAAGGGUGCGUAACACGUGGGCAAUCUGCCGAGAAGUGGGGGAUAGCUCGCCGAAAGGCGAAUUAAUACCGCAUACGAUCAGCCAAGACAUCUUGGCGACAUCAAAGCCGGGGCAACCUGGCGCUUCUUGAGGAGCCCGCGGCCUAUCAGCUAGUUGGUGAGGUAACGGCCCACCAAGGCUAUGACGGGUAGCUGGUCUGAGAGGACGACCAGUCACACUGGGACUGAGACACGGCCCAGACACCUACGGGUGGCAGCAGUCGAGUAAUUUUUCUCAA